rnacentral:rRNA from 1 species
AGCGCGGACCUCAGUCCCGGCUGGCCGUAUUACACCCUGGGCUAUAACACCUCCACCGAAGUGGAGGCCACAUUCCCAGAGCCUUUAUCCGGCCGCCGAAACUGAUGCUGGCCUGUCCAAACUGAGUAAACCGGUCAGAAGACCGGCCGAACAGUUUAAACAAGUCUGAUUGCAAGCGCUUCCCUUUCAACAAUUUCACGUGCUUUUUAACUCUCUUUCCAAAGUGCUUUUCAUCUUUCGAUCACUCUACUUGUGCGCUAUCGGUCUCUCGCCAAUAUUUAGCUUUAGAAGAAAUUUACCUCCCAUUUAGAGCUGCAUUCCCAAACAACUCGACUCGUCGAAGGAGAUUUACAUAGGGUGCCAUUUCCUGUCACAUACGGGAUUCUCACCCUCUAUGACGUCCUGUUCCAAGGAACUUAGACAGGCGGCUUCCCCAAAUCAUCCUCUACAAAUUACAAUGCGAACCCGAAGGCUAGCUUUCAAAUUUGAGCUGUUGCCGCUUCACUCGCCGUUACUAG